rnacentral:lncRNA from 1 species
CUGGAAAGAGGGCUCAUCAGGAGCCGCGACGAGCUCUUCGUCACCACCAAACUGUGGUGCACCGACAUGCACGCGGACCGCGUUGUCCCUGCACUGCAAGAGUCUCUCAGGUAUACAUAUAAAGCAUUUGAUGCAUGAACGAAAAAUAUAUUCAUAUGAUCAGAACUUUCAAGGAAUGAGUAUAUAUACUUAUAUGUAUCUCUGUUUUGGGUGUCAGCUCGGGUUUAUCAUGGAAUUUAACAGAAGAAUAUGGGCAGCCCAAUCUAAGUUUAAAUGAAUAACAUGACAUAUUGAUCAUGGUUAAAGGUUACGAAUGUGGAAUUACACAUUAAUAAACUUUAAACAAUAGUACACAGAUUACAUAGGUGGCUGAAUAUUAUAUAGAUAAAGCAGAUCCCGGCUACUUAACACAAAGGCUAUUUUUUCAGAAAUAAAAAGAUCAUAUUUUCGUAGCUACAUCUUGAUGAAACGUUGACAGAAUAAUUCUGGUUUUUCCAGCAGUAAAAAUCUAGUGGCUGAUGGUGAGAGAUCAUAAGAGGAGUAUGCUUUUGUCCAAAACAAUGUUAAGUCUGUCUCUUGAUCGUUUAGCAUGAUGGUUCUCUUUUAUCCUUAGGAUUCUUAAGAACAACACCCUAACAAAUAUAAGAGGAUUGUCAAGAAAAAGAAAAGGUAGAAAAACCAUCUCAAUAAUUAAUUCUUCUUGAUCAAAGAGACAAUUAUUUCUGACACAAAAAAAUUAGUAAUCAUAAGUGUUGGUAAAGAAGAAAAAGAGAAGUCUAUCAUGAAUGAUUGGAUUAUAAUGUCACUGUCUUUUAAAUGAUUUUGUAGGACUUUGGGUUUGGAGUACAUCGAUCUGUAUCUUAUCCACUUCCCUGUUAGAUUAAAAGGUGACAAACAAAUAAUAUUCACCAGCGAGGACAUGAUUCCCUUGGACAUGCCAACUGUGUGGGAAGCAAUGGAGAAAUGUCAAAGUCUUGGUUUAGCUAAAUCUAUCGGAGUUAGCAACUUCACAUGCAGGAAGCUAGCUGACCUACUUAGUCAUGCAAAAAUUCCACCUGCUGUGAACCAGGUAAGUCAUAACUCCAUCUACUCAUUCCUCAAGAACAUCUACUUUUUCUUGUUAGAUGUGAAAUUGAAAGUGCCAACCAUUUUUUUUUAAAAGAAAGUUAUAUAUGGUGAAAUAUGAUAUAAGGAAAGAUCCCAAAAGUUCAGCAUCCUCAAAUGUUAAAAGUAGUGCUCCCAGAAACAAUAAUUCUGCUCGUAGGAGCAAGAAUGUGUACCUUUGACUUUCCUCAGACAAUGCCUUGACAACGGUCACACUCUUUUCCUGCAAGGAUCUCAAAUAGUUAGUAUGUGGCCAUGGUGUAGUGCUAAUAUUUGCCAUUCUUGUGAUAGGUGGAAAUAAAUCCUAUUUGGCAGCAAAGAAAACUACGAGACUUCUGCUCAGAGAAGGGAAUCCAUGUAACUGCAUAUUCUUUGCUAGGUGCAAUUGGAGUCUUUUGGGGGAGUAAUGAUGUGUUGGAAUGUGAAGAGGUCAAAAGAAUUGCUCAGUCUACGGGAAAAAGCAGAGCCCAGGUAACUACAUUACUUCAUUCUCUGUGCAAGUAAAAAGCUUUGCUUGACUAUAUCUUGGCAUCACAUAUGCACAAAAUUUUAAUUGAGAUACUUAUACAGAAUCCUUAUUGCUAUACACAUCAUAUUCUUUGAUCAAUUCAAAAUUUUUCAGGUAUGUUUCAAGUCAAGUGUGUCAGUAGAAUCUAACAAAUUGUUUGAUAUAUGGACAGGUAUGCUUAAGGUGGGGCGUCGAGCAAGGUGGGAGCAUUGUAGUGAAAAGUUUUAACAAGGAAAGGCUCAAAGAGAACAUGGAGAUAUUUGACUGGCAUCUGAAAGAGGAGGACAAGGAAAGAUUGAGCCUAGUACCACAGAAAAGGCUCAUUCUGGUUCACCCAUUUAUAUCACCCAAUGGUUUGUACAAGUCUCAUGCUGAAUUUUGGGAUGGUGAUGUGUAGAUUACACAGCAUCAUGAAACAUAGUGAAGGAUGCAUGUCAUCCCCAAAUUGCCAAUUUACAUUUACAAUUGUCAUAGCUAAUGCCUACCAUUCUUGCAUGCCAUUCUAAAAUUUUGAAUGAAUUUUGGGUGAUCACGACUCGUCUUGUUGUCUAUUGUCAAUGACAACUGAUUUUGAAGAUAUUUGAUUGCUACCAUGAAAUUUAACUAUCUAUCUAAGUAUCUUUUCUUUAUUUGAGCUAAACAAAUAUCAGAAUGGAUACAACCUCUGUUGUUAAUAAACUUCUAUAGAUCAUUCUGGGGUCGCCAAUUUCAUGGCAAGCGAACAUUGUAUCAAACUAAAAGGUUUUUCUCUAACUAAUGGACAUAUUAGGCAGGGCAAGGCAGUUGCAUCCGGUAACAUACAUCAUCAAUGAUAUGCAUAUCACAACCGCAGUAACUCACAUCAUCUAUGGUACCUAAUUAGAAUCAAGAAGCAAACAUGGAGUCACACCAUAAACUUAAAAUGGUGGUCAGAUCUAGCAAGGAUAAAAUGAUUGGUAUAUCAAUCAUUAUUAUCAUCAGUGAUAUCAAACAAUACAUAUCUAUGUACCGUUCCUAUCAGUUCGACCAAUUGCCGAAACAAGUAUUUCAUGACCUAGCUCGCCAAUGUGAUCAAACUAAUAAUUCAACAAGAAAAGCAUAGCAAUACAGAGGUAACCCGGACCAACAGCGAGCAUUACAGGAACAUGGAGCCAGUGCGAACUCCCCAGUGUGAUUAUAACGAACCGUAAAGCGCCACAAGAUAACGAUCAAAGAGUCGAAACACUCAUUAUGAUCGAAGCAAGAUAUUGCAGGAUUAACCAUGAAGCAGAAUCAGGCAAAUCCGAACCCAAGAAACCAGGAGAAAGAAAACGAUAGAUAAAGGGAUCAGAAGGACCGUUUGAUCAUCGAUUAGCUUCUUCCGCGUCGUCGUCGUCCUCCUCCUCCUCCUCGAUCGAGGAACCCAUGCGAACCCUAACUCGUUCACAUUGAUGACACAUGAAAGAGCGGGAGAGGAAAGAACGGGAGGAGAGUCGUAUUCUGCUGCGGUUCCGUUCUCUCUCUCUC